UACGAAGGGGGCUAGCGUUGUUCGGAAUCACUGGGCGUAAAGGGCGCGUAGGCGGCUUGAUAAGUCGGGGGUGAAAGCCUGUGGCUCAACCACAGAAUUGCCUUCGAUACUGUCGGGCUUGAGACCGGAAGAGGUCAGUGGAACUGCGAGUGUAGAGGUAGAAAUUCGUAGAUAUUCGCAAGAACACCAGUGGCGAAGGCGGCUCACUGGCCCGAUACUGACGCUGAGGCACGGAAAGCGUGGGGAGCAAACAGG
rnacentral:rRNA from 1 species